GUGCCAGCCGCCGCGGUAAUACGGAGGGCGCAAGCGUUGUCCGGAAUCAUUGGGCGUAAAGGGUGCGCAGGCGGGGCAGCAAGUCGGAGGUGAAAGCCCAUGGCUCAACCAUGGAAGAGCCUUCGAAACUGUUGCUCUUGAGUCCCGGAGAGGCAGGCGGAAUUCGUGGUGUAGCGGUGAAAUGCGUAGAUAUCACGAGGAACACCAGAGGCGAAAGCGGACAGCUGGACGGGUACUGACGCUCAGGCACGAAAGCGUGGGGAGCAAACAGGAUUAGAAACCCCGGUAGUCC
rnacentral:rRNA from 1 species